rfam:Apaloderma vittatum contig94396, whole genome shotgun sequence.
CUAAAGGCUCUUUUAAGAGCCACCAAGUGGCACAAGAGGGCUGUUU